rnacentral:lncRNA from 12 species
UUUUAAAAGGCUCCUUAGGAGCUGUUUCAAGAAAGGGAAUGUAGUGAUUGCAGAGGUGGGUAUGAUGCUGAGUGAUUUAACAGAAAGACUAGACCUGCGUGGUGGAAAAAAGGUCUUCAAUGCCUCAGAAGCAUCUCAGUGUCAUGAAGGAAUGACAGCACAUAAACAGGACUGGAGUGACAUUGGGGAUGAUUCCCUUUCCUCUCCUAUGUAGGAGUGUGCCAGCUUCAUCGAAUGUGGAUGCACUAGUUAUUAAUGUGUCAGAAAUACUGACAAAGCCUGGGAAGAAAGAGGGUAAGUGAAGUACAUGAUAAGCUUUUCUAAUAAUCAUAAUAUGUUUCUUUAAAUAU